rnacentral:lncRNA from 1 species
GGAAUGACUCGACCUCUAGCAGCGGAGCUACUUGGAAUAAAGUGCUACGAGAUGCCUUUACCUAUCCGCGGUAGACAACAUGUGCCGAUGAACACAAGCUAGACUGAACACUAUCUGCAGAAAGGAAAUAAGGGGGUGAGUCUCAUAGACUCGGUGAUCAUCGGCUCCGUGAGCAGGAUGUAGAUGGGAAACAAGCUUAAGGCAGAUCAUUUGAAUGAUAAAAUUGGAAUAAAAGUAAUAAUCUUAGAAAAAUCAAAUCACAAAUAAAGUGUUUGUGCAUUGUAAAAAUAAUGCCGUAAAUCAUCAUGCAAUAUUUCAUUGGGCAAAACGAUGCCGAAAACAAGUGUAGUAAAACAAGGUUCAAUCAUAGAAAAC